rnacentral:rRNA from 1 species
CUACGUGCCAGCAGCCGCGGUAAUACGUAGGUCCCGAGCGUUGUCCGGAUUUAUUGGGCGUAAAGCGAGCGCAGGCGGUUAGAUAAGUCUGAAGUUAAAGGCUGUGGCUUAACCAUAGUACGCUUUGGAAACUGUUUAACUUGAGUGCAAGAGGGGAGAGUGGAAUUCCAUGUGUAGCGGUGAAAUGCGUAGAUAUAUGGAGGAACACCGGUGGCGAAAGCGGCUCUCUGGUCUGUAACUGACGCUGAGGCUCGAAAGCGUGGGGAGCGAACAGGAUUAGAUACCCUGGUAGUCCACGCCGUAAACGAUGUCGACUUGGAGGUUGUGCCCUUGAGGCGUGGCUUCCGGAGCUAACGCGUUAAGUCGACCGCCUGGGGAGUACGGCCGCAAGGUUAAAACUCAAAUGAAUUGACGGGGGCCCGCACAAGCGGUGGAGCAUGUGGUUUAAUUCGAUGCAACGCGAAGAACCUUACCUACUCUUGACAUCCAGAGAAUUCGCUAGAGAUAG